UACGGAGGGUGCAAGCGUUGUCCGGAAUCACUGGGCGUAAAGGGCGCGUAGGCGGCUCAUGAAGGCUGUGGUGAAAGUCCGGGGCUCAACCUCGGAUCGGCCGUGGCGACUCGUGGGCUGGAGCACUGUAGAGGCGGGUGGAAUUCCGGGUGUAGCGGUGGAAUGCGUAGAUAUGCGGAGGAACACCGAUGGCGAAGGCAAUCCCCUGGGCCUGUACUGACGCUCAUGCACGAAAGCGUGGGGAGCAAACAGG
rnacentral:rRNA from 1 species